UACGUAGGUGGCGAGCGUUGUCCGGAAUUAUUGGGCGUAAAGAGCAUGUAGGCGGUUUUUUAAGUCUGGAGUGAAAAUGCGGAGCUCAACCCCGUAUGGCUCUGGAUACUGGAAGACUUGAGUGCAGGAGAGGAAAGGGGAAUUCCCAGUGUAGCGGUGAAAUGCGUAGAUAUUGGGAGGAACACCAGUGGCGAAGGCGCCUUUCUGGACUGUGUCUGACGCUGAGAUGCGAAAGCCAGGGUAGCGAACGGG
rnacentral:rRNA from 1 species